AUACUUACCUGGUGGAGGAGAUACCAUGAGCAGGAAGAUGGGCAUUGUACUACAGAUAAGCCUACCCUGUGGUUUCCCCAAAUGUGGGAAACUUGACCACACAAAUUUUGGUGC
ensembl:snRNA Gm24251 predicted gene, 24251